rnacentral:rRNA from 1 species
UACGUAGGGGGGCAAGCGUUGUCCGGAAUCAUUGGGCGUAAAGAGCGCGUAGGCGGCCCUGUAAGUCCGCUGUGAAAGUCAAGGGCUCAACCCUUGGAUGCCGGUGGAUACUGCAGGGCUAGAGUCCGGAAGGGGCGAGUGGAAUUCCUGGUGUAGCGGUGAAAUGCGCAGAUAUCAGGAGGAACACCGAUGGCGAAGGCAGCUCGCUGGGACGGUACUGACGCUGAGGCGCGAAAGCGUGGGGAGCAAACAGG